rnacentral:lncRNA from 1 species
GAAGAAGACGAAAGUGAGUGCAAAGCAAGUAGAAUCACAGGAAUGGUCUUUUCAGUAGGUUUUGAGGAUUUCUGAAGUCCGAGACAUAAAGGGAAUGUGCAGGAAGGAAAGGAGAUGGUCAUAAACGAAGUAAAGGAAAUUGAAAUAAGAGGGCUGUGUUUUUUAGUAAUGGCAAAUUAGGGUAGUUGAGACAGGUGGAAGACAAAAUCUUUUUUUUUUUCCUUUUUUUGGAGACGGAGUCUCAUUUUGUCAUCCAAGCUGGAGUGCAGAGGCGUGAUCUAGGCUCACUGCAACCUCUCGGAUUCAAGGGAUUUUCCUGUCUCAGCCUCUCAGAAGAGAACAUCUUCAUAGGAGAGGAGCUCUAGGAACUGAGAAUGCAGGAAAUUGGAAGAAAUAUACAUUAAUAGCCAAGAAUUUAGACAGGACUGGGGAGCCAGGAACAAACAUUUGAGAUGUUGGGCUUUUAAUGGAGUUGCCACGGAUGACAGCAUCAUGAGAAAUGAGGUUUAAAAAUGGAGGAUUGUUCGAGGAGGGAGGAGGGCUGAUCUGAAAGCCACAAGGAGGACAAAUGGAACACCUACCCCCACUACAGGCUGGAAGAAGUUUCUCUUGAAGAAGGAACAUUUAAGCUGAAACCCUAAGGAGCCACCCAAGAAGACUUAAGUUGAGAAAGGGGAAAGCAAGCAAAAUAUCAGAAGACUGAGAAUGGGGCCAGAAGUAAGGCGAAGAGUGAGGCAGCAGAAGACUAGCAGAACUUUGGUGAUCAAGAAGAAAUGAAAGUCUCCCCCUCCUAGGGACUUGAUCUCCUCCACAGAAGGACCUUUCAUGGUGUGUAAUCCCUCAUGAGCCCCUGUUCUUUCUCAUCUCAAUACAUUGUGUUUGCAGGACUCCUCUCUCACCUCCUGAAUGGGACCCCUCGAGGGCAGUGAAGGUUUCUUAUCUUCUGCUGUAUUCCAAACACCCAGCAUAGGGCUUGACACAUUUGUCUUUUGUUGUUGUUGUUGCUCUCUUGUUAUUGUCAUUUUGUAUAAAUAAACCAAAGGAAAAC